rnacentral:lncRNA from 1 species
UUAUUAAAAAAAAGAUUUAGAUUUAUUUGAUUUUUUUUUCUUUCUUCUUUGCAUGAAUAAAUGUUUUGUAUCGAACAUGCAACUUAUUUACCAUUAGAUUUGAUGAAAUAAUAUUGUAUUGUUGAGUUUAAAAAUUAUAGAAUAAUUUUAUAUAUGGGGAUGUAGCUUAAAUGUUAGAGCGGUUACUUUGCAUGCGAGAGGUAUAAGGUUUG